rnacentral:misc_RNA from 1 species
GAACGUUGCUGGUCUUCGGACGUAGCUCGUUCGUAAUACAUUAGCAUCUCUAAUUCGAAUUCGGAUUGACUCAGUGUAAUAGACUAUUCGCUGAGGACACUUUUAUUAGUGGCCGAACAAGAUCAUUGUAGAAGCUUCAAACCUCUAUAGUCAAUUUUAGAUUAGACCUCAGAUCAGGCAGGAUUACCCGCUGAACUUAA